AAUUAUUUCUGGAAGUCUGGCCGAGAAAAGAAGGCAUGAGGAGCUAGUAGAUAAGUGAAUGAUUCAGCAGAGAGAGAGACUGCUCCCUAAAAAGGAAUCUCUAGAAAGCUGGAAGAGGAUAAGAACCAAAGCACCACAGAAGUUAGCCUUCAACAGAAUGACAAGCCUUGUAACUGGACGAGAGGAGGAAAGGCCACAUACAGAUCAAAUGGAG
rnacentral:lncRNA from 1 species